rnacentral:ncRNA from 1 species
UCAACAAUCUGGAGGAAGAGUAAGUACGUAUCAGUGUGCGGGGUCCAGAGAGUCGGUGGCUGCUGAGAACCGAUCCUCCCCUGAUACCGAAUGGGCUUCUGAAUUGCAUCGCCGAAACAAUAGUAAGCGCUGCCGGGAUUCUCUCCCCGUUACCAAGAGAGGAGUAUCGAAACUUACGUUUUCUGUACUUAUGAGUGAAUGGCUUUUUGAGCUGUUAAUAAAGGUGGUACCGCGAAACCCUCGUCCUUUGA